AUGGCCGCGCCCACGCAGACCAGCCCGCUCCGCCGGUGGAAGCGCUUCUUCCGCGCCUUCGACUGCGUGGAUGCCGCCAUCAAGCCCUCCGACCCUGACCACUCACGCGACGAGCUCCGGCGCGCCAGGGGCGACGUCGUGGAGCAGCUCUGCAACGCCGCGGACGACGACGACGACCAGGCGGAGCGCCUCUGCGGGAUCCUCGACGACCACAUGGCGGAGUCCCUGGAGACGCUGCGGCUCGUUCUGGUGACGCCCAGCAUGCUGGCUUCCACGGACCUCGCCAGGUCCGUCUGCGCGCUCCGCGGGCACGAGUCGGAGCGCGUUCGCGCCCUGGCCAGAGGCGCGUGA
rnacentral:rRNA from 1 species